CCUACGGGGGGCUGCAGUGGGGAAUAUUGGACAAUGGGGGGAACCCUGAUCCAGCCAUGCCGCGUGUGUGAAGAAGGCCCUCGGGUGGUAAAGCACUUUCAGUGAGGAAGAACGCCUGGUGGUUAAUACCCAUCAGGAAAGACAUCACUCACAGAAGAAGCACCGGCUAACUCCGUGCCAGCAGCCGCGGUAAUACGGAGGGUGCGAGCGUUAAUCGGAAUUACUGGGCGUAAAGCGCGCGUAGGUGGCUUGAUAAGCCGGUUGUGAAAGCCCCGGGCUCAACCUGGGAACGGCAUCCGGAACUGUCAAGCUAGAGUGCAGGAGAGGAAGGUAGAAUUCCCGGUGUAGCGGUGAAAUGCGUAGAGAUCGGGAGGAAUACCAGUGGCGAAGGCGGCCUUCUGGACUGACACUGACACUGAGGUGCGAAAGCGUGGGUAGCAAACAGGAUUAGAUACCCCUGUAGUC
rnacentral:rRNA from 1 species